rnacentral:rRNA from 1 species
UACGUAGGGUGCAAGCGUUUGUCCGGAAUUAUUGGGCGUAAAGAGCUCGUAGGCGGUUUGUCGCGUCUGCCGUGAAAGUCCGGGGCUCAACUCCGGAUCUGCGGUGGGUACGGGCAGACUAGAGUGAUGUAGGGGAGACUGGAAUUCCUGGUGUAGCGGUGAAAUGCGCAGAUAUCAGGAGGAACACCGGUGGCGAAGGCGGGUCUCUGGGCCGAUACUGACGCUGAGGAGCGAAAGCGUGGGGAGCGAACAGG